CCUACGGGUGGCAGCAGUGGGGAAUAUUGGUCAAUGGGCGCAAGCCUGAACCAGCCAAGUAGCGUGAAGGAUGACUGCCCUACGGGUUGUAACCUUCUUUUAUAAAGGAAUAAAGUGAGGCGCGUGUGCCUUUUUGUGUGUACUUUAUGAAUGAGGCUCGGCUAACUCCGUGCCAGCAGCCGCGGUAAUACGGAGGAUCCGAGCGUUAUCCGGAUUUAUUGGGUUUAAAGGGAGAGUAGAUGGGUUGUUAAGUCAGUUGUGAAAGUUUGCGGCUCAACCGUAAAAUUGCAAUUGAUACUGGCAGCCUUGAGUACAGUUGAGGUAGGCGGAAUUCGUGGUGUAGCGGUGAAAUGCUUAGAUAUAACGAAGAACUCCGAUUGCGAAGGCAGCUUACUAAACUGUCACUGACAUUGAUGCUCGAAAGCGUGGGGAUCAAACAGGAUUAGAUACCCGAGUAGUC
rnacentral:rRNA from 1 species